CCAGUAUUUAUUUACAGUUCACAGAUUACAGGCUAGUUCCCAGCUUGGGGAAAAUCGUCUAGUAUAUCACAAAAGCUGUAGACUCUACAUGGCCUACUUAUUGCCACUAACUCUUGUGCAUAAAAAUCAUUAAAGCUAGUGGAAUGGAAUCCACUACCCUUUUGCUCCCCACCAACUCCACUACCCUUUGCUCCACCAACUCCACUCCACCAAACUUCCCACUUACUCCCUUCCCCACCACACGCAAGAAUGCAUCCAACAUCCCCUUAUACCUGCAGCAAUCUCUUCAUCAUCUUCAUUCUUCACUAAGGAACCGAAGAGUAGGAAGAAAUUCUACAUUCACUGUUCUGCCAUCAAACCUCAAGAGGUAAGCUUCGGUCCAUAUCCUCCAAUAUCUUCCAUAUUCAUUCUUGCAAUCACUAAAGAGGCAAAAUACGUUAUUUUGUUCCAGUUAUCGAUUCCUUAAUUCAACCACAAACAGCUAACGAACACCAAGCAUAGCAGGUCAAGCGCGAGAGUAAGAACUACACAAGGAGUUAGAGUACCUUAGCAAAACUUUGCUAUCAGGUUGAGCUGUGAUGGGCGAUGAAGUGCUGUUGCUGAGUGGAGUUUUUGUCGAACUUAAAGUAGGCUCAAAAAGGAUACAUGUCUUCAUACAUGUAUCUCAGUUAUGCAUUCCGCUGUAAACACUGAUUAUUUCAGUUACGUCUUCCGUUGCAAACUCUGAUAAUGUUUUAGCC